UACGUAGGGUGCGAGCGUUUAAUCGGAAUUACUGGGCGUAAAGCGUGCGCAGGCGGUUCGCCAAGUCAGGUGUGAAAAUCCCCGGGGCUCAACCCCGGAACUGCCUUUGAUACUGGUAGUCUUGAGUUCGAGAGAGGUGAGUGGAAUUCCGAGUGUAGAGGUGAAAUGCGUAGAGAUCAGAGGAACAUCCAGUGGCGAAAGGCGGAGUUUC
rnacentral:rRNA from 1 species